GGAAGAAAAAAAAAAUUCUAAGCGCAGCGCCCUCCAAUACGACCAUUAGACGCAUGGAUAAGUAACUGACACGUGGACAUUAUAACAAUGAAAUCCUACUCUGACACUGAGGUUUUGAACACUGCCAUUCUCACUGGAAAGCCUGUUUCAGUUCCUGUCAAAGUCGUGAGGGUCCAGGAGGAUGGUUCUGUGGUCUAUGUGUCUGAGUCUGUGGAAUGCAAGUCUGCCGAUGCAGAUGUCAUUAAGGUCUUCAGCAUUAACAUCUCCAUCUCUUGAACUAGUGAUCUGCCCACCUCGGACUCCCAAAGUGCUGGGAUUAUAGGUGUGAGCCACCACGCUGGGCCUUGGCUUGCAGUUUUGAUCUCAGGAUUGGUAUGACUUUGAAGAAGACAGAGGACACAAUUGUUAAAGAGUCCAGAAUCUGGGAGAAUAAAAUAAUUUUCAGAGACUGGAACCUCAACCUAGUCUGGCAGGUGGAAGAAGGAUAAAAAGUUCUACUGUUAGUUUAAGAAAGUUUUCAUUAAUUUCAAAAUAUGCAGCAUAACAGCAACAUCUGUGUGAAAAAAUCUUGGCAUCUUUAUAAAUAGUAAGAGCCAAUGAAUCAAAUGAAGAGGUUGCCAUGAGGCUGAUGUGAUCUUCGUCAGCAUUAAUCAGAGCAUGGUCCCAGCACAGGCAACACUGCUGUACUUCAUGCCAAAUCUGGUCCAGAAGGGUUGUGUGUGUGUGUUUGACUUUUUAAAAUUUGAAUCCAUUUCCAGCAUGCAAACAUUGUUAAUUUCACGUCUGGAUUCCGAGCUCCUCUUGAAACACCAUGUGGUCAGGUUGUCCUGCGCCCAUACUCCUGCCGGUCAUCAUCAUCUGGAGUGGACCAGUUGUCUACAGAGGCUCUCCACUCCCCACCACUCCAGCUCACUGUAAUCUCCACCACUCCCUCUCGCCUUCCACACUGAGGGUGAGGGGCACUUGUCAUUUCUUGUCACAUUUGUGCUACUGGCUUUCUGACAGCAGAUUUCAGAGUGAUGUGAGAUAUUUCUUUUACACUGGUCUCCAUCAAAAAUGAGCAACAGAUGAUAGCCCUCACUCUGUCACUCCAACAGAGAAUUCUUUCUAGGUCAUAAGCAGAACAAUGGGAAGUCAGAUUGUGUUCUGCUGAAGAGUGUCCAUGGGCUGAAGGCUUUUGAAAUCAAAUCACAGUAGAAUUGCCUGAAGGAAGUGAGAGUGUAUAGCCUGAUGCCGAGAAGAAAAAGCCUGGGGGUAACAUACAGAGUGAGAACUGACAGCUCUUUUUAAGUCUUUCAAGGGCCAUCAUGUGGAAGAUGGAGUAGGUUUGUGCUUUUUAUAUUUCAACAGGGG
rnacentral:lncRNA from 1 species